GAUGAACGCUAGCGAUAGGCCUAACACAUGCAAGUCGAGGGGCAGCAUAGAGUAGCAAUACUUUGAUGGCGACUGGCGCACGGGUGAGUAACACGUAUGCAACCUACCUACAUCAGGGGAAUAACCCGGAGAAAUUCGGACUAAUACCGCAUAAUACAGGGAUGCCGCAUGGCAAUAUUUGUUAAAGAUUUAUCGGAUGUAGAUGGGCAUGCGUUCCAUUAGCUAGUUGGUAAGGUAACGGCUUACCAAGGGAACGAUGGAUAGGGGAACUGAGAGGUUUGACCCCCACACUGGAACUGAGACACGGACCAGACUCCUACGGGAGGCAGCAGUGAGGAAUAUUGGUCAAUGGACGGGAGUCUGAACCAGCCAAAUCGCGUGAAGGAAGACUGCCCUACGGGUUGUAAACUUCUUUUGUACAGGAAUAAAAGACAUUACGUGUAAUGUAUUGCAUGUACUGUACGAAUAAGCAUCGGCUAACUCCGUGCCAGCCGCCGCCGUAA
rnacentral:rRNA from 1 species